rnacentral:tRNA from 1 species
GCCUGGGUGGCUCAGUGGUUGAGCAUCUGCCUUUGGCUCAGGGUGUGAUCCCUUGGUCCUGGGAUGGAGUCCCACCUCAGGCC